GUCUGUGAAAUUCCGGGGNUUAACUUCGGGGUGGCAGGCGAUACGGGCAUAACUAGAGUGCAGUAGGGGAGACUGGAAUUCCUGGUGUAGCGGUGGAAUGCGCAGAUAUCAGGAGGAACACCGAUGGCGAAGGCAGGUCUCUGGGCAGUAACUGACGCUGAGGAGCGAAAGCAUGGGGAGCGAACAGGAUUAGAUACCCUGGUAGUCCAUGCUGUAAACGGUGGGCGUUAGGUGUGGGGACCGGUUUGGUUUCUGUGCCGUAGCUAACGCAUUAAGCGCCCCGCCUGGGGAGUACGGCCGCAAGGCUAAAACUCAAAGGAAUUGACGGGGGCCCGCACAAGCGGCGGAGCAUGUGGAUUAAUUCGAUGCAACGCGAAGAACCUUACCUGGGUUUGACAUGCACCAGACGGUUGUAGAGAUACGUACCUCCCUUUGUGGUUGGUGUGCAGGUGGUGCAUGGUUGUCGUCAGCUCGUGUCGUGAGAUGUUGGGUUAAGUCCCACAACGAGCGCAACCCUUGUCUUAUGUUGCCAGCACUUUGGGUGGGGACUCAUGAGAGACUGCCGGGGUUAACUCGGAGGAAGGUGGGGAUGACGUCAAAUCAUCAUGCCCUUUAUGCCCAGGGCUUCACACAUGCUACAAUGGUUAGUACAACGCGCUGCGAGCCUGUGAGGGUGAGCGAAUCGCUGAAAGCUAAUCUCAGUUCGGAUUGGGGUCUGCAACUCGACCCCA
rnacentral:rRNA from 1 species